rnacentral:lncRNA from 1 species
GGCAUCUGGUGCUGGCUGCUGUCUCACUGUGUGCCCACGGGAGAGAGGGAAGGAGACCAAGAGACACAGAGACGGAGGGGAGAGACGGGCAGAGACGGAGCGGGCGACUUUCUCUCAAAGUGCGGCUCCUGCUGGGCCAGGGCACACUCUUACAGCUUCCACGAGCCUUAAUUACUUUGUCCAGUCCGGCCUCCAAAACCCCUGCCCUGAGGGUCACGGCUUCCCUAUCUGAACUCCGGGUGAUGUAAGCACUCAGGUCCUCACAGUGGUCCACAGCUUCCCUUGCGGCCACAGGAGCAACCCAAAGCGGCUUCUCCUCAGAUCCUGCCUCCUUGGGCAUUUGUGACCCUGGCAUUCCCAGAAAGCUCCAUCUGCAGACAGACAGCCUCACCACGGGCUCCUGCGUCUCCACACCCUGCUCACACAGCCCAGGCGCUCACCCUCAGCCUGCACUCGGUCACGCUCGGGCAGGCGGGAAGGACAGCUCACAGCGAGGCUGCCGGACUCUUCUCCUGCUCGAACGCUC